AGAGCGAACGCUGGCGGCAUGCUUAACACAUGCAAGUCGCACGAGGGGCAACCCUAGUGGCGGACGGGUGAGUAACGCGUAGGUAUCUAUCCAUGGGUGGGGGAUAACAGCGGGAAACUGCUGCUAAUACCGCAUGACACCUGAGGGUCAAAGGCGCAAGUCGCCUGUGGAGGAGCCUGCGUCCGAUUAGCUAGUUGGUGGGGUAAAGGCCUACCAAGGCGACGAUCGGUAGCUGGUCUGAGAGGAUGAUCAGCCACAUUGGGACUGAGACACGGCCCAAACUCCUACGGGAGGCAGCAGUGGGGAAUAUUGGACAAUGGGCGAAAGCCUGAUCCAGCAAUGCCGCGUGGGUGAAGAAGGUCUUCGGAUUGUAAAGCCCGUUUCGGCGGGGACGAUGAUGACGGUACCGCAGAAGAGCCCCGGCUAACUUCGCGCCAGCAGCCGC
rnacentral:rRNA from 1 species